UAAGGGCGCACGGUGGAUGCCUUGGCACUAGAAGCCGAUGAAGGACGUUACUAACGACGAUAUGCUUUGGGGAGCUGUAAGUAAGCUUUGAUCCAGAGAUUUCCGAAUGGGGAAACCCAGCAUGAGUUAUGUCAUGUUAUCGAUAUGUGAAUACAUAGCAUAUCAGAAGGCACACCCGGAGAACUGAAACAUCUUAGUACCCGGAGGAAGAGAAAGAAAAUUCGAUUCCCUUAGUAGCGGCGAGCGAAACGGGAAGAGCCCAAACCAACAAGCUUGCUUGUUGGGGUUGUAGGACACUCUAUACGGAGUUACAAAGGACGACAUUAGACGAAUCAUCUGGAAAGAUGAAUCAAAGAAGGUAAUAAUCCUGUAGUCGAAAAUGUUGUCUCUCUUGAGUGGAUCCUGAGUACGACGGAGCACGUGAAAUUCCGUCGGAAUCUGGGAGGACCAUCUCCUAAGGCUAAAUACUCUCUAGUGACCGAUAGUGAACCAGUACCGUGAGGGAAAGGUGAAAAGCACCCCGGAAGGGGAGUGAAAUAGAACCUGAAACCGUGUGCUUACAAGUAGUCAGAGCCCGUUAAUGGGUGAUGGCGUGCCUUUUGUAGAAUGAACCGGCGAGUUACGAUUUGAUGCAAGGUUAAGCAGUAAAUGUGGAGCCGUAGCGAAAGCGAGUCUGAAUAGGGCGUUUAGUAUUUGGUCGUAGACCCGAAACCAGGUGAUCUACCCUUGGUCAGGUUGAAGUUCAGGUAACACUGAAUGGAGGACCGAACCGACUUACGUUGAAAAGUGAGCGGAUGAACUGAGGGUAGCGGAGAAAUUCCAAUCGAACCUGGAGAUAGCUGGUUCUCUCCGAAAUAGCUUUAGGGCUAGCCUCAAGUGAUGAUUAUUGGAGGUAGAGCACUGUUUGGACGAGGGGCCCCUCUCGGGUUACCGAAUUCAGACAAACUCCGAAUGCCAAUUAAUUUAACUUGGGAGUCAGAACAUGGGUGAUAAGGUCCGUGUUCGAAAGGGAAACAGCCCAGACCACCAGCUAAGGUCCCAAAAUAUAUGUUAAGUGGAAAAGGAUGUGGCGUUGCCCAGACAACUAGGAUGUUGGCUUAGAAGCAGCCAUCAUUUAAAGAGUGCGUAAUAGCUCACUAGUCGAGUGACACUGCGCCGAAAAUGUACCGGGGCUAAACAUAUUACCGAAGCUGUGGAUUGUCCUUUGGACAAUGGUAGGAGAGCGUUCUAAGGGCGUUGAAGCAUGAUCGUAAGGACAUGUGGAGCGCUUAGAAGUGAGAAUGCCGGUGUGAGUAG
rnacentral:rRNA from 1 species